GGUCGGAUCAUGGCUCUGAUUGAACGCUGCGGAUGCUUUGAGCGCGAAAUGAAUGCGUGCAUCGACUCUCUGGUCCGGGUAUGGCGCGCGAACGGUGGCGGCGUAUCGAAACCGUACGAAGAGUGGGGAUAACUACGCGAAAGGUGAAGCAAUGGUCGCAUACCUUCGGGGAAAGCGGGGGACCCUCUGGCCUCGUAAUUAUUAGAGCGCCGAUAUCGGAUUAGCUAGUUGGUGGGGUAACGGCUCACCAAGGCGACGAUCCGUAGCUGGUUUGAGAGGACGACCAGCCACACUGGGAUCUGAGAGCGCCCAGACUCUACGGAGGCAGCAGUGGGAAUUCUGGACAAUGGGGGAAACCUGAUCCAGCCAUCCCGCGUGUGCGAUGAAGGCCUCGGGUUGUAAAGCACUUUUGGCAGGGGAAAGAAACGGCACGGGAUAUACUCCGUGCAACUGAGGCGUACCUGCAGAAUAAGCAAUUUUUCGGCUAAUCCGAUGCGCCAGCAGCCGCGGUAAUACGUAGGGUGCAAGCGUUAACUGGAAUUACUGGGCGUAAAGCGUGCGCAGGCGAAUCGGAAAGAAAGAUGUGAAAUCCAGAGCUUAACUCUUUGAACCGGUGAUUUAAUCACCGAGCUGAGUGGUGUCAGAGGAGUGUGGAAUUCGCGUGUAGCAGUGAAAUGCGUAGAUAUGCGGAGGAACACCGAUGCAUGAAGUGUUUCCGGGGAUAAUACCGAUUGCUCAUGCACGAAAGCGGAGCAAACAGGAUUAGAUACCUGCAGUAGCCCACGCCCUAAACGAUGUCAACUAGCUGUUGGGGCCUUCGGCCUUGGUAGCGCAGCUAAUCGGGUGAAGUUGACCGCCUGGGGAGUACGGUCGCAAGAUUAAAACUCAAAGGAAUUGACGGGGACCUGCACAAGCGGUGGCUGGAUGUGGACACCGAUGCAACGCGAAAAACCUUACCUACCCUUGACAUGUCUGAAUCCGAAGAGAUUUGGGAGUGCUCGCAAGAGAACCGGAACACAAAGGUAUGGCCGUCACCAGCUCGUGUCGGUGAUGUUGUUGUCCCGCACGAAAGCAACCCUUGGUCAUUGCUUAUGUUACGAAAGGGCACUCUAAUGAGACUGCCGGUGACAAACCGGGGAAGGUGGGACACGUCAGUCUCAUGGCCCUGCGUAGGGCUUCAAUAUCGUCAUACAAUGGUCGGGACAGAGGGUCGCCAACCCGCGAGGGGGAGCCAAUCCUGCAGAAACCCGGAUCGUAGUCCGGAUCGCAGUCUGCAACUCGACUGCGUGAAGUCGGAAUCGCUAGUAAUCGCGGAUCAGUACGUCGCGGUGAAUGACGUUCCGGGUCUGUACACUGCCCGUCACACCAUGGGAGUGGUUUUACCAGAAGUAUAGCCUAACCGUAAGGAGGGCGAUUACCACGGCAGGGAUCUAUGACUGGGGUGAAGUCGUAACAGCGUAGC
rnacentral:rRNA from 1 species